rnacentral:lncRNA from 1 species
UUUUGUCUCUGUCUGGGACUUUCGGCCGCCGAAGGUGCCGCCGAAAGUGCCUGACUUUCGGAUCUGUCCAGGACUUUCGGCCGCCGAAGGUGCCACCGAAAGUGCCCUGUUCAGCCAUUUCAUGCAUAUCUUUAUGUGAUUAUUUCAUGAUGUUCUAGGGGGGUUUUGGGGGUAUUCUUAGAGUUAUGUUCUAGUAUGUUUGGUCCCUCAUUUGAGUCCACCUGUGUAGGUUCGGACUCGAGGAACCGAGGACCCCAGCAGUGCUAGCUGCUUCAGUACCUUGUCAGAGUCUUUAGAGCCAACCAGAGGUGAGUAGAAUAAACUCAUAAGUUCUUAAAGUAAUGAAAUAUAAAUUUUUGAGCAUGUUCAUGCAUCAUUUAUGCCAUGUGAUAUUUUAGGUUGUUGCAUUAGAAAUUUCACGAAUAUGUUGCAUGGCACAUUAUGUUGUUGAUGUGGGUAAUGCUGGAUGACCCAAUAGUCCCUGACAGGAAGUCCAGUGACCCUUUGACUACGCCCUGGCACAGAGUUAUGAUGACAGGAAGUCCAGUGAGCCUUUGACUACGCCCUGGCACAGAGUUAAUAUGGGACUAUUUGGUGACAGGUUUACCCUUGAUGUGGCUUGUCUGUGAUGUGAUGCAUUCCAUGAUCGCAUGUAUUUUAAAUGCUUUAUUAUUCUGCUCACUGGGCCCUUGUAGCUCACCCCAUUCCCUUUACCCCCCAGGAUUGCAGGUUCGGGCUAGACCAGGAAGUGUAGAAGAGUAAAGUUUCCAAUUAUGUAAUAGAAUGGUUAGAUGUGGACAUGAUGAUCUGAC